rnacentral:lncRNA from 1 species
UGAAUGAUUUUGUAACAAGCUAAUGUCCUAGAAAUAUAAACAAGGUGAUCUCAAAUCCAAUCAAGAAAUAAGUGCAAGAAUUCAAUCAAAUGCUAAGGAUGGAUCCAUGAGCAAUGAUAAUUGAUAUAAAGUGAUCAAGGUUCAAUCUAGGAUGUUCAAACAAAACAAUCAACAAGUCUAUAGGUCUAGAUCUCAUUCAAUAUAGAUUAAUCCACUGUCGUGGCAAAAACCCUAUGCUAAUCAUGAAUUAAACAUCAAUUGUCGUUGGCUAACGCAAUCAAGCAUGCAUAAAUCACAAGUCUACUAACCACUUAAACAUCUC